ACCUUAGUUGCCGCUUGCUGUCGCUUUCAGCAGCUCUUUACUUUACCAACAUGAGAGUGGGAUAGGUGGCAUAGGCAUAUGUUGGGUGGGGUUACCUUUGUUUACUUUUCUUACCCUUUCUGGUUUAAACAGGAUGCGCAUUGUCGCUUUAUGUCACCUUGUGAGAAUUAUUAGCAUGCUUUCAUAUGGAGGUAUUGUUUGUUUGGAUUAUGUAGAUCCAUGGGAGAUGUUUGUGAUCGCAUGUGCCGCCCUACUGAAAAUGGGACAGAUUGGAAACAUUGACCCUGACUGUAGACUUAUUGGCCUUCACCUCUAUGAUGGAUUGUUUUUUUUGGGGGAGGACUAUGAGGGAUUGUUUAAGGCACUACUAACCUCUUGUACAUGUGUGCACAUUGGGACAAUGAUGAUUUUUCAUGGGGAGGAAUGAUUGUCGAGGAGGUUGAGCAGAUGAUAGUCAGGUGGAACAUACGGAGACUGAUAUGUCUACCAAAAUGUUGAGUAACAUCUUGAGGGUAAGCUAUAUGAAUGUUAAUGAUGAGGUGU